rnacentral:lncRNA from 13 species
AAGUAGCUGGAACUGCAGGUGUGCACACUAUCAUGCCUGGUUAAUUUUUUUGUAUUUUUUUUUUUUGUAGAGACAGGGUAUCACCAUAUUGCCCAGGCUGGUCUCCAACUCCUGGGCUCAAGCAAUCUGCACAGCUCAGCCUCCUAAAGUGCUGGGAUUACAGGUGUGAGUCACUGUAACAAGCUCCAAAAUCUGUUUCUUUGACAUAUUUUGAAACAGCCCUGAAAAGCUGUCUCUUGUGGGGGAAAUUUACAUUCUGUAGAGAAUCCUCUUCCCUUUCCAGGUCUUUUCUGAUCCUAAAGAGAUUAGCUGAGAGUCUAGCACCUUUCAAAUGUCUGAGUAGGAAACAUUUGCCAUCUAUUGCUUCUAAGGGCAGCCACUUAAGAGACUUCAUCUACAUAAUAAGAACCGUGGUCUCCACAACCCCUUGUCUUAACCUAGACACCCAUUUAUAUUUAUUACAGGUCUUUAGAUAAUAACUGAACUCUUUCAACUGUCAAUCAGAUAACUUUUGAAUCACAUGUAGCCUGUAAGCCCCCACUGGAGUUGUCCCACCUUUCUGAACUGAACCAGUGUAUACCUUAUAUGUAGUGACUGAGAUCUUCUGUCUCCUUGAAAUAUGUAAAACCAAGCUGAACCACAACCACCUCGGGCACAUGUUCUCAGGAUCCUGAGGCUUUGUCAUUGGUCAUAGUCCUCACAUUUGGCUCAGAAAAAAAUCUCUUCAAAGAUUUAAUAGAGUUUGGCUUUUUCAUCAACAGCCUCACACUAUAACAUGGAUUCUUCUUUUCUUCUGUCCAGCCAGAAUGAAAGGGGCGGUGCGUGUCCCAAAGAUGCUCCCAGCUCCCUCCGGUUUCCAAAGAGGUUCUUGGCCUUGCUAACUCUGAAGAAUGGGGAAAGGGACCGUGGAGGCUUGGUACCAUAUGGUGCUGAUGUGUUGGAUGCCUCCAGGUUUUAAUUUCAAUCAUUCAUCUGGACACAUGGUGAGAGGCUGAAUAGUCAUGCUUUCUUCCCUCAUGGAGUUUAUAUUGUGAUUAUGUCUGGUUCCUAGACUUUCCGAUUCUGAUUCAGCCUUCAAAGUUCAAACCAAAGCAGAGGUAUUCAAUGGCUCUUGAUUUUCCUUCUCAGGUUAAGGAGUUGGGAGUAAAGCAUGCUGAAAGAGUAUAUGAAGAAGGAAAUUGAAAGAAGCAAAAUAGGCUGGGCAUGGUGGCUCAUGCUUGUAAUCCCAGCACUUCAGGAGGCAGGAGGAUCACUUAAGGUUAGGAGGUCAAGACCAACCUGGCCAACAUGGUGAAACCUUGUCUCUACUAAAAAUACAAAAAUUAGCCAGGUGUAGUGACGCACACCUGUGGUCCCAGCUACUCAGGAGGCUGAGGCAGGAGAAUCACUUGAACCCUUGAGGCAGA